rnacentral:lncRNA from 1 species
GGAUCUCACCAGGCUUGUGUGACACCAAAUUGCUGCCCCAGGGGCGUUGGAGGAUUUCAGCGCUCUGAGUUCAAGGGAAACGGGAAAAAACCCUUUUUUGUGGAGCUCUCAAGGUUUAGCUCCCACCAGGGGCGAGUGGCUUUGUGUCCUGGGCAUUCCGAGUGCCUGAAAAUCCUCCCGAAAUUCCAAUUUCCUGCUCUUUAUUGCUCGGGGAACAUUCAGCCUAAUUGGGGGAGCAGUGGAAGGGGAAUUGCACCAGGAGGAAGAAUCCUCUCCUGGUUGCAGCCAGAAGGUGGAAUCCGCAUCUCCAAACUCUUUUCAACCCUGGGCACGUUGUUCACCAUGACCAAAAUGCUUUCCCUCAAAUGCAGGUGCCGACUCUUGGGUGCAUCCCCAGCACCUCCCCCUCAGCAGGGAGAGUCCAAGGUGGGAAUUGUGCUGGCAGGAUGGGCCCUGGGGUGUUCAAAAAACAAAAGUGGGGGAGAUAAGGAAGGCAAAGGCCACCUUGCCUUGUUUCCAGCAGCCCUGACUGCGUUGUCUCUCCGCUGAACAUCCUGCUCGGCAGCUGAGCCCUCUCCCCAGGGCUUUUCCACACCCCCUCUCCUUCCUGCAGGAGAACGUGGCUCUGCAGAUGGAGGUUGUUUGCUUUGUGGUUACGGAUCCGAGGAGAAAAUAAAAAGGGAGGGG